rnacentral:rRNA from 1 species
CCUACGGGUGGCAGCAGUGGGGAAUAUUGCACAAUGGGGGAAACCCUGAUGCAGCGACGCCGCGUGAGUGAAGAAGUAUUUCGUUAUGUAAAGCUCUAUCAGCAGGGAAGAAAAUGACGGUUACCUAGCAAGAAGCCCCGGCCAACUACGUUCCCGCCGCCGCGGUAAUACGUAGGGGGCAAGCGUUAUCCGGAUUUACUGGGGGGAAGGGGAGCGUAGACGGCAGUGCAAGUCUGGAGUGAAAGGCGAGGGCUCAACCCCCGGACUGCUUUGGAAACUGUAGGGCUGGAGUGCAGGAGAGGUAAGUGGAAUUCCUAGUGUAGCGGUGAAAUGCGUAGAUAUUAGGAGGAACACCAGUGGCGAAGGCGGCUUACUGGACUGUAACUGACGUUGAGGCUCGAAAGCGUGGGGAGCAAACAGGAUUAGAUACCCGAGUAGUC